ACAUGGGGUAGCCUUUCUAGUAGGUUUUAGUCAACUCUAUUUUAUCAAGGCUAGCUCACUAAAGCAAAAAGCAACGGCAUCAAAACCGUUGCUUUUUGUCU
rnacentral:sRNA from 1 species